GGCUCAUUAUCUCAAAAUCUCCUUUUCAAAUUCUAUUUCGGAAGUUCGAUACCGGAGGUGCAGGAAGAUCUGCCGGAGGCCUAGUGAUAUCCAGAAAUCCAACGCCAUUACUGCGAUGGUCCUCAGAGCCGAAGAACAAAGCCAGCUACAGCUCUUUGAACUUGAAGGCAUCGAUGAUGAAGACGACCUCUUUGAAGCAAUCGAUCAGUCUUCCUACUAACAUGCAUGGAGGGAGUGGAAAUGUUGCUUACAUUGAUACUGAGAGAACUUUUUCUUUCCAUAUUUUGUAGUAUGAGAUGAUAUCUCCCUGUAUUGACAGUUGGGGAAAACAAAAUUCUUGAUGAUUAAACUGGUUCAGCAAGCAAGAGGCUAUGUAGGACUAAGACUUAAAAGUGCAGAAAUCAUCAUUUAACAGGGGGUUUUACCUUUUCUUGGUAGAGUCUCUGCUGCUGUGAAUAAUAUUCUUCAGAACAUGUAUAGUUGAGAUGAGUUAAGGAUACUUCAAUAUGCACUGGUUGAGUUUAUGUUGGUUUGGCUAGGGGUCGAGUUUGUUUGGCCCCAUCACUUCUGGCAACAGAUUGAGUUCAUGUAUUAAUUUGUUUUAGUGAAUAGGUUGAAAACUGGAAUGUAGUUUU